rnacentral:tRNA from 1 species
CAGAGAAUAGUUUAAUUAGAAUUUUAAUUUUGGAGGUUAAUAGUGGAGUAUUCUCUUUCUCUGA